AAUUCGUGAUGUGGGCAUGCUCUCAUUAGCUCCUUAAAUCGCUUCCAUGCUUUGAAGAGAAAUUCACCACUUGUCUGCCUAAAGCAUGUAAUCUGGUUGCUAAAUU